rnacentral:tRNA from 1 species
AUUGAUUAAGAAGAAUAAUUCUUAUAAAUAAAUUUACAAUCUAUCGCCUAUUU